CUUUGCCUUAUCUCUGCUAUUCUUUCUUCUUAUCUAAUCUUUGAUCUCUGGUCUAUCAUGAAUUCAAACAUGUCUAUCUAUGCAUUUCAUAGACCUACGGGCACACAUCUCGAACCACCAAAAUCUUCAUAGCCUAUCAUAGCAUCUAGUUUUGACAUAGACCCCGAAUACAUAGAAUUUGUUCAAAAACAACCUUUCUCAGGAGAAGGUGAGGAAAACCCAUACACACACCUAAGAGAGUUUUAUAGAGUCUGUGACCUCCUUCGCAUAGAAGGCAUGUCCGAUGAGACCAUUAAAUGGAAGCUCUUUCCGUUCUCUUUAACAGGAAAAGCUAGACAUUGGUACAAACUCAAAGUAGGGAGUGUUCAUUGAGAUUGGAAGGAGUUAUAUAAUAGUUUUCUUUCUAAAUAUUUUCCAAUCUCCAAAGUGGCGGAACUUCAGCGUGAGAUUAUUUCUUUUAGACAACUGGAAGAAGAAUCUCUUAGCAAAUCAUGGGACCGCUUUAUUAACCUUACUCUCACUGGCCCAAAGCUUUCUAUUCCAGAAGAAGUUCUUCUAAUUCACUUUUUUGAGGGCCUUAGUAGGGAAAAUAAGCAAACCGUAAAUACAGCCUCUAGAGGAUCUUUCCACCACCUGUCCUCUAGUGAUGCUUGGAAUUUGAUUGAUUUACUGAGCGGAAAGUCUCCUAGUUUUUAUAUCCCUGAGAAAGAGAAAGAACUAGUUCCUAGACAAGAAGAAGAAGUUUCGAUAGCCAGAUCACAACCACUUCAAUCCCAAACUUUAGCUAUCGAUCCUAAACCAUCAAUACCCUAAAAUUCUUCACGAGAGGAAGGAAUUCCGACCUUAAAUCUUUCAGAUACUGAUGGUUUAGACUUUUGGUUCCAUAAGAAACCUUCAAGCAGGGAUAAUUCAAGUCCUUGCAAUAAUGGUUCUCUUAGAGAAUGUCCCGGUUCCUGUUAUGAAGAAGUCGAGGAUGACAUAUCAAGUGAAGGAGAGCUAAGCCAUAUAGAAAAUUCUAUCUGCUCCCCUUCCAUGUUCACAAGUUCUAAAUCCAUCCUUGACCUUAGAGAUCCCUCUUAUCCCUCUUCUAAACCCCCUCUUCCUUUCUAUUUAUAAAAACUUUAAAAGGGCGGUUGUCGAUGCAUAUGUCUAUAAUAAAUAUUGUAGAUCUCGUUGAGUUGAUCUUGAUAUAGGUCAGCGUUGGAAGGGAAACCACUUCGCCGACAUAAAUUGAUGGUUUCCCAAGGACAAGCUUAGUGUCCUAAAAUAAGCACUGAUCAGAUCGUAAAAUGAGUUUGUAAUUAUUUGCAACAUUACCUUGUGUAUUGAGCAUAUAAAGAUAAUUGUGAAAAUAUUCCUUCGGGUAUUCUUGUCACUAACCUUUCCAAGAUUGAGCAAGAAGAUCGGAUGAAUGACAAGCACAAGGUAUGUCCAACCAAUCAUCAUACAACAUUGAAUUAAAUUCACCCAAAUUUGAAUUUUGCAAAAUUCAAGCUUGGGGGAGUACUUUAUAUAAAAACAUCCUUUGUCAUGUUGCUGUUGGGUAUUUUAAACGCAAACAGAAAAAUCCGCAAGCGCACGGAUACCGAUGUAGCUUUCACCCAGGAGUAUUCCACAUUAAGGACCGUCAACAGUUGCUAUGUUGGUUGUCCCUAUCUUUGAGACAUGCUCAAUUUGUUAAAUACUAAUCACACAACUUCAUCUCCACUUGAGUAGAUCUCUAUAAAUGCCAUCACGCUACCUUUGUUUAUCCUAGUAAUGUGUUAGUUUGGAAGUACUGCACAUUCUUCUAUUGGAUUUUAAAUUAAGCAUGGUGCUUAGGUUAAACAGCCUUCCUUAAUCUCAUUAGACAUGGAGUCUAGUUUGGUUAUUGAACUAAAAACUGCUUGAGUAGAUAUUGGUAUGUUUUGUCGGACUAACCCCUGCAGGAAAAAUUUCAAUAUCAACCUGGGAAGUCCUGAGAUAAACUCACAUUAGAGACAAGGAGAGAGACACAUGAAGUUUAAUAAUUUACACAAGGAAGACGUAGCUCAUAAGAGAUGAUCCAUGGAGGGUGCCACAAACACGAUACACAACCACUAUGAAUGGGAAGCUUCCCCAAGGUGAGAUGGUACCAUCACUCUUCAAUUAAGCUGACUAUCUACUUUUAUAAGCUUCUCCUUGGUUCUGGCGUUCACAUAAAUAAAGAGACAAACAUGUAUGAUUUAUAACUCCAAAUUAACCAACCCAACUGAUUCAGCAUGUUUAGUCCUUUAAUCUUUGUUCCUAGUACUACCUCCAUGAUCCCACACUCCUAAUCAUAUGAGCUAAAAUGUUACAUAUUCAAUCUUUGAGAGAUAUAAAGAAAAAGACAUAUACAUAGAUAGAUUAUCUUUCCAUAAGGUUGAGCGAUCUGAUCUGACAAAUGUUAUAAGUGCUACACUCAUGAACUUAUCAUCCAUCAACUUUGUCUUGCUCACUAUGCUUAAGGUUAGAGAAGAACAAAUACACUUUUGGUUCUGUUGGUGUUUUCCACCAACAGGACCCAUGCGCUUGAUCUCUGCCUUUUCUCUAUGAGCAGGUACACUUUGAGCAAAACAUGGAGGAGUUUUAUAACUCUCAGACUCUACCAAGUGAAGGACCUGGAUCUACGAGCACAAACACACUGAGCAGGAUGCUGCCAACGCCGCACUUCGAACUGCUGGGCAAACGAAGAACAUGGGUGACACCGUGUCAAGAGGUGCAGACGUCAAGGUCCGCACCUGAAUCAAAUGACGCACCUGAAGAAUGAACACGAUGAGAAGUCUUGUUGAGAAGACUUAAAACAUUGAACCCUCGCCGAAAGGUAAAAUCGGUAGUUAUCCAUAUUUAUCCUUUCUGCAUUCCCUUUUCCUUAAAUUACUUACUUUCCUUAAAUAGCUUAUUAGUUAAUCAUGCUAUCUUGAAAAGAAAUUAAAAAUGUUUAAAAAUAGUAAGCCCCAUGUGAGUAUGCUCGUGCCUUAAAACCCAUAAGUACAUUCACUGUGGUGGCGUAAAAAUAAAAUAAAUAUAUUCCUGUUCUAUAGAAAUGAAAAUAAAAAAAUAAAUUUAUGAUCCUACCAAAGAAAGUAAUAUUUAUUAGAGGAAGCUCAACAUGAUAAAGGCAAAGAGAUUUUAUGCUAACACUUAACCAGUUCCACAAAGCUUUGUUGUCUAUUUGAGCUCCACAAAAUUCAAGGAUCAAAGAAGACUAGCAGACGGAGGACAUCCUAAUCGCUGUCAGGGUGCUGCCGACAUUCAAAUACACCUCCGUCACCUGCUAGCUACAUCAGAAGAAAUUACGUCAAAAUCCAGCUUGGGGGAGAGCACCCCCAUUUAUCCAGCUAAGUGUUUCUACUCAUGUUUAUACUUUACUCAAAUAAUAAAAAGAUGCAUAAUCAUAAAAACCCAAAUAAAGAUUUUAUACUUAUAUAUAUAUAUAUCUAUGCUUAGUUUGCUAAAUAAAUAAAUAAAUAAAGUUUGCUAUGAACCAUCAUGAUAAGCUCUCACAUGAAAAUGAUGAAUAGUUGCUCUGCCUAGUUCUCAAAAUUGAAAUCUCUCUCAAGUUUAGGCAUGACUGUUAUGAAUUAAGAUUUGCUCUAAACCUAAACUUGUGGGAAGAGUACUUGAUCUAAAGUCUAAGUCGUUAACGGAUACGAUAUGGGAAGGUUGAGCUGUUGUUUAUCUGUUCCUAGAGAUGCUAGAAUUCUGGAGAAUUUUAUCCUUGAAAAUCUUUAAAAUGUUGCAUGAUGAGUUCCUAUAUGAUGAGAGUUUAAAAUCCUACCACAGCCAUAUAUACAUGCUUAUUAGACUAUGAACCAUACAUGUACUUUUUAUUACUUAUGAGCAUUGAGUGUGGUCAAGCUGUGUAGACCCUUAGGGGCUUGUCAUGCAGUUAAAAUCAAGAUUCACUUGCACGUUCACUCAUACAUGCUGCUUCUACUCCGAAAGUACGCAUCCACAUACAUCCACGCCUUUCCAUCUCCAGAUUCACCUAAAAUUAUUCUACUCCUAUCAAGGAGAGAAUAGCCAAAAACAUUAUCCUAUCCCUGUUUUUUCUCGUGAAAAAAAUGCUCGAGAUAUUUUGGUUAUUACCACUUGCUAGAGGUUUGAAAACCUGUAGCCUGAUGAUUCUGUUGGGGCAUUUGUGGAAAGACUUGCUGCCCAGGCCAUCCACUAUUAGCAUUCAUCGGCAUAGACCCUGCCGAUGUCUGGUAAUUAGGCAUCAUCAUUGAAUUGACAUACCCUGACUGAGUCAUAAACCUCUGUUACGUCGGCAUUGAAUUUGCCGAUGCGUUAGGCAUCUGGAACGUUGGAGCUUGAGAAUUCCCAGUUUAAGGCCUUGCAGUAGUGGUCGUAGUAUACUGGGGACUCUGAUUCAUCGGCAUAUUUGGAGGUGCCGAUGCCAUAGGAGCCUUGCCUCUCACAUCAGCCGUCUAAGAUAUGCUAGGUGUCUUCAAUGUCAACUCUGGAGGCAUACCAUAACCCCACCAGUUAGGAGGAGGGACAGAUCCCGACAUCACCGAUGCCAAUAGAUCUGUAGCAAGCUUGACCUGCUCAUCUGAAGUCGAUGGAUUGGUCGUCAUCGGCGUAGAUUGCGCGUUAGUGACUCCUAAUGUGCUCGGAGGAACAGUUGUUUCUGUGCCCGCAGCGGCCGCUGCAGCCGAUGGAGCUGUGACCACCGGUGAUCCUGGCUGAUGAUGAGAAGGGCCCACAUAAUUUGGUGGCAAUUGUCCUUCUUUGAAAGUUCUAACCAUGGCAUUGAAAACCGUAUUGGAUAGCACACCAGCUUGAUUGAUCAAGGCACGGUUAACAGCACCAUCAACCAUGUCUUGAAGUUUACCAGGAUUGGCUUCAAAAGUAACCUGCCGAGGUGCCAACAGUGCUUCUUUCUGGAUCACCUCACAACUCCUGUUGAUGCUGAAAGACUUCAAACAUUGCUGCUAGUAGUCCUCCAUAGCCUUUGCAAUAGCUUGCUUCUGCACAUCUCUGAGAUUAGCUUCCGUCACAGGGAUGACAUUCUCCAAGUCGAAAUCGCUAGUCACCAUGUCGAUCUUGGUCUUGAAUCAAGUCCCACUGGGCAUGCCAAAAGAUAUGUUGAUGCAAAAGCUGAUCUGCAAACACAAAGGGCUAAUACCCGAUUUAAACGUUAAGGCGUGCCAGCCGAUUUGACCUUACUAUCGGCAAAGGUGAUAACUCGAAUACUUUGGUCCCGACAACAGCGAUGCGCCCGGAUGUCACGGCCAAGAGGUAUUCACGCGGAACUCGAGAAUACGCCGAGCUUAAGUCGAUGAACUCCUAAGAACUCGUAAUAAAAGAAAAAUAUGACGAAAUCGUCAAAAAAGUAGAUGCUGGAAUAUGAGUAAAAACUUGUGUUUGAUUGAUUGAUUGAUUUUUUUAUUACAAAGCCCUAGGGUCUACAUUUAUACCCUGCUCAAAGAGCUACAAUCAGACACGACUAGGACUCGAAUUCCAAAUUAAACAGAAUCCGUAUACAAAACGAUUUAAAUAACUAAGGAAAACACAAAACUAUCCUCCCGUGACAAACUGGGACACCACCAUGGACCAAUCGGCAACCUUCAUGUUCUCCUUCCGAGUCAUCGGCAGACUCCUCGCUGUAACCAUCGACAAGGGCUAACGCUGACCAUCGGCAUGAAUGCAUCACCACUCAUGGACUUAGUCACAUUCAGCUGUCCCCUCAUCGGCAACCACCCUCAUCGGCAACUCCCCUGCAGACCAGUUACUGUUGCCCUAUCUUGCCGAUCUACACUCUACCAAUCCUGGGUACGUGUCCAAAAAACGGUGUCAACAAGAUGAAUCCUAAUAAAUGUGCAUUUGGUGUAUCGGCAGGCCAGUUUCUGGGUUUCAUGAUGCAUCAGAGAGGGAUUGAAAUUAGCAGAAGAUCCAUUGAUGCAAUCAACAAAUUGCUCCCACCGAUAAAACUAAACUUCAGUCCUUGAUCGACAAGAUUACUUUUAUCACGCGAUUCAUAUCCAAUUUAUUGGGUAAGAUCUGAGCUUUUAGUCCUUUGCUCAAAUUGAAAGCCGAUCAAGAAUUUGUAAGGGGAAAAGAGCAACAGCUAGCCUUGGAUGAAAUUAAGAAUUAUUUAAUAAAUCCUCCGGUACUGGUUCCACCUCAACAUGGAAAGCACUUCAGAUUAUAUUUAUCAACCGAUGAUGCAGCUAUCGGUUCAGCUCUCAUUCAAGAAUUUGAACGGAAAGAACGUGUGAUUUAUUACUUAAGUAUCAAAUAUAAUCAAUAAAUAAAUAGAGAAAAGGAUCCAAAUGCAACCGACACCUAGACUUGGGGUUUUAUCUAACAGAAUUGCACGAGCUUUGUUGUUUGUCUAUUUCUGCAGGGGGUUAUCCGGAAUUAUGGAGGAAAGGCCCACAUGUUGGGUUUACAUAGAGAUACUAACGUGCACCACAAUUAUCCAACAUCUAGAAGAAUCCAGAAGCCACGGGAACAAGCGGGAGGCCGAGCAGGCCCGGGGACAGGGCGCCCGCCCUCCCCCUUGGGCGCCUGCCCUGACCUGAGAGCCAAUCAGGCUCUGCCUCGCGGAUCAUGCUCCACCAACCUAAGGGAUUAAGGAAAACCAUGCGAUUAAGGUCGGUUUGAUUUGACGGCCCAUAUUCAUUUGGAAGGACUAUAUAAGCAGGCCCCCUGGCCCCUGGAGGAGAGGACCUCUGAAGCCCUAAUUCAUUCACCCAUCUCGGGAGAAGAAGCCUCUAAUCAAGCCCUAGAGCCACCACAUCAACUAGAUCUCUAGUUUAGCAUAGCUACAUAGGAUUAGAACUAGAAGGAGUCAAUCUUCGAUUGGUUUCCGGAUCUGUCAGAGGAUUCUUGGUAAUUCCUCUACUGUUCUUCAUUUGUUCAUCAUUGUUUUUCAAUAUUAUGAAUAUGACUUUGUUCUACUUCAAUAUAUUGAUUAUGACUUUGCUCUACUUGUUUAUAUUUGCAAUUAUGUUGUUCUUAGUUCAUCAUAGUUAUAUGCUUGGCUUAGUUAGAUUGGAAUUAUAUACAUGUUUAGAAUCGUAUAGCGUUUAUCCUUGUGUACAACGGGUAAAUGAUAAGUAUUGUGUAGGCGUGGUGCCUAUACCGUAUUUAUCUGCGAUUGUACCCUAUAUGCCGGAUCACGGGGUAGUUCGUGGUGGUGACAGCUCCAUUGAUUCUUAUAUAGUCCCCCUCCCAUGUAUAGGACAGGCAGAGCAACAUUAUUACAGGGGAGUGAUUGCUAUGUUUCUCAUCUUCCUUGAUAAUAUCACUAUGCAUGGGCGUAGUCCUGUCUCGCAAUGAUUGCCAAGUAUAAUUGCAUUAACUAUGAUAUACUAGACUUUAUAGUUAAGAAUAACUUAGGAAAUAUUCUUGUAGUUCAUCCUAAUUCCAUGCUAAUGACUUACUAGAAUAUCUGUUGAGGUGCUUAUCAUUAUUAUAUGUGGCUAGUUAUGCUGAUCAGAUUAAUUAUCUUUGUCACCAUUCAUGUUUUAGCUAUAUUUUAUGUGACAUUUAUCCCUAUAUGAAAGAGAUAGAUAAAUGCUCUCUAUUACACAUGCAAUGAUAGAUACUCAAUUCCAUAUUCCAUUCCAUAAUCAACAUUGAUGAUUAGCAAUCCCUUCCCAGUGGUAAAAAUAUAAAUAACGAUACCUGGAAUACUACCCGGUUAAAAUGCUACAUCGGUAUUAAUCUGUGCACUUGCAGAUCUCAUUUAUUAUUUAUUUAGAAGAGCAAUUGCAUAUUUCAAUACCGCGUCUCUCAUGUCAUGCUGGGGAUGACAACUUGGCUUAAGUGGCAUGAGGGAUAGGUUCGGCAUUUUUGGCGCCGUUAUCAGAAAUAGAAAACUAAGUCUACUUUUGGUAAUGACGUUAAGAAUGCCCAACAAGCAUUUUUGGCGCCGUUGCCGGGGAAGGUUGAUUACUAAUAAGGAAUGAAUACGGAAUUUCGAGUCAUCAUUCGCAUCACUAAUAUGAUUGAGAUUAUCAAUUCUCUCAUACAGUUUUACCCCUGUAUUUUUCUAUUUUGAUUAUUUUAUGCAGGUAUGAAUAGAAGACAUCUUCCAGGAAAUUUUGUUGACAACCCUGAAGCGUUAUUUAGAAAAACAAGAGCCAAGCUCAAGAAGACAUCGUCAACACUUCAGCACGAAGCUUCAUCCAAUCCAGAAGAUCGCCGAAGUUUCAUCUGGAACUUGUCGACCGAGUUCGAAGGCAUGGCGAACAAUUCGAUCUAUGAGUUCUCAGCUCCCACUACAGACAACAUCCGCACUGGACCUGCUGCAGAGAUCGACUGCAACUUUGAGCUCAAGCCUGGGCUCAUCAACAUGGUGCAAGCCAACCAGUUCUGUGGGAAGGCGCACGAAGAUGCUAGUGCUCAUCUCCAACACUUCCUAGAGAUUUGCAGCACAUUCACCAUGUCAGGAAUCCCCAGAGAUGCUAUACUACUUCGCCUCUUCCCAUUCUCACUAUUGGGGAGAGCGAAGCAGUGGUUCUACACUACAAAGGAGAAGAAUACUACGUGGGCACUCUGCUCCACGAACUUUCUGGCUAAGUUCUUUCCCAUGGGCAAGACCAAUGCUCUCCGUGGGAAAAUUGCAAGUUUUCAGCAACAACAUGAUGAAUCCGUUCUAGAAGCAUGGGAGCGCUUCCAAGACAACAUCCUAGAAUGUCCCCAUCAUGGAAUGGAGAGCUGGCUGCUGAUGCAGACGUUUUAUCAUGGGCUCGGCAAUAGUGCCUGUGAGACCAUGGAUGCUGCAGGUGGAGGAGCAUUCCUAUCACUCACCAUACCACAAGCCACAGCUCUUGUGGAGAAGAUGGCGUCCAACCAAGGCUGGAAUGAAGAAAGAACCCAGACACGCAAGAGAGGUGGAGGUAUGCACCAGCUCAAGGAGGUAGACAUGCUGUCUGCAAAGCUAGACUUACUCAUGAAGAAGCUCGAUGAUAGAGCUAGAGAUAAGAAAGAAGUCAUACACAUCUACGACUCUCACAUGACUUGUGAGGAGUGUGGAGAUACUGGACACUCAGGCAAUCACUGCCCUGAGAUGCUUGAGGACGUGAACUACAUCAACAACAAUAACAACAACUACUACAACAACCGUCCUCAACAAAAUCAAGGUUGAAAUCAACAGAGGCCUAACUACUCAGGUAAUUAUCAAGGUAACAAUUCUUACAAUAAUAAUAAUAAUUUUCCACCUCUGAGAGAGUUAUUGUCUAAUCAAGGAAAGCUAAUGGAUAACCUAUCUAAGAAAUUGGCAUCUAAUGAUAAAAUGCUAGAAAAUAUAAAUAAUAGAAUGGAUAAUUUCUCUACUGCCAUCAAGAAUCAAAUUAGCUUUAAUAAAAUGAUUGAAUCUCAGUAAAAUCAAAUAGCUGCUGCUGUUCUUGCUACUAACCCCGGUAUACCGUAACAACCGGAAGGAUUAGAAUAUGCAAAUCUUGUAGACAUGUUUGAUACAGGUAACUACUGGAGUAACCCCGUUGUGGAAGUAACUACUGACCUUCUGCCGGUUAAGAGAGGCGAUCCAGGACGUCCCAUCAUCUCGAUCUCCAUCGGCCUGGUGGACUUCCUAGAAGCACUCUGUGACUUUGGCUCUAGCGUCAACAUUAUGCCUAGGGUACUCUAUGAAAAAUUCUUUACGCAUCCUUUAUUAGAAACAACCAUGUGUUUGCAGCUUGCAGAUCGGACGCUAAGUUUCCCAAAGGGAAUAUUGAAGAACCUCUGUGUCUGAGUUGGUACCUUGUACACCCCAGCAGACUUCGUGGUGAUAGAGACCGGUUCUGAUGAGAGGGCACCCGUCAUAUUGGGGAGGCCAUUCCUGAACACCUCGGGAGCUGUCAUCUACGCUAGUGCUGCCAAGAUCAAUUUCUACAUCAAGGGGAAGAAGAAGACGUUUUCCUUCAAGAACAAGACUGCACAAAUCCCAGAGCAAUCCCGACAUGAACCAAGUAAGAGGACCAACAGGAGGAACAGGAACAACCAUGUGUGGACCGAGUCAGCUAAGAUGGUCACUGCAGUUCAAGGAGGUCAAGAUCAUCGACUUAAGUCACCGUUUCUGACCAAGAAGGACGACCCAGGUAUGCCAAGCAUCCAGUGCUCCAUUAAUGGAUACAACUCCUACAAGACGCUUUGCAACACCGGGUCCGGCGUCAACAUAAUGACCGCAGUCACCUAUUAGCUUCUGUCCGGAACCAUGUGUUGACGGUUCUUAAGUAUCAAUUUUAAUUAUCAAAUAAACAAGAGAAAGGACCAAUAUACAAACAACUCCUAGAAUUAGGGUUUGAUCUGACAGAAUUCCACGAGUUUUGUUGUUUAUCUGUUUCUGCAGGGGGUUAUCAGGAAAUAAGGAAGAAAGGCCCACAUGUCGGGAUUACAUAGAGAUAUUAACACAACGCGCAAUUUUCUACCAUCUAGAAGACUCCAGAAGCCACGGGAACGAACGGAAAGGCGAUCGGGCCCGAGGGCAGGGCGCCCGCCCUCCCCCCUAGGGCCCCCGCCCAGGUGUUGUGGCCAAUCAUGUUCAACUUCGUGGAUCAUGCUCCACCGACCUAAAGGAUCAAGGAUAACCGUUCAAUCAAUGUCGGUUUGAUCCAACAGCCCACGUUCACCUGAGGGGACUAUAUAAGCAGACCCCCUGGCCCCUGGAGGAGAACAAGUUCAUCAUAGAGUUGAGAGGUGCCCUCGAAGGAUAACCUUUCCUCUACAUAGACUUAGGGCUUAGCAUCCAAUGUGAGAGUAGACUAGAUCUACUAGAUUGAGAGAGAUAGAGUGGAGGUGUAGAUCGGAGGAAGCUCGGCCUGUCAGUGUCUACUCCGAGGUUGUACCUGCAGGAUCAAGUUCUCCUAACCCAAAGCUUGUUCCUAGGAUUCUUCAGUAUUUCGACUUCUAAAUACUAGUAAGUUAUUGUUUUAUUGUUCUUUGGUUUAUGAGUUUUGCUUUAAUCUCUUCGCGUAGAGUUUAGAGUAAUCAUCUCUAGCGUAGACGUGGUGUUUAGGCUAGGAUACUCAUAGAUAUCCCCUGACUAGCUGGACCGUGGUAAUAGCGAGGAACAUGACAUUUCCAAGUUACCUUUGCAGCCCAUAUCCCGUUAGUAGGAUCGAUAGGGUUUAUAGGUGCGGGUUGAACAUCCUCUGUGGUGUCUAGAUUCCGUGAGCCUCCCCAACAGAACAGUAGAUUAUCCUUACAAAGGUUAGAACGAGAUUACGGUUGUAGUCUUCUCUAUACAUCGCUCACAUCGAGAAACAUUCUUUGUAGCCUAAAGGUUAGUAGUAAUAGACUAGGUUAGUCAGAUGCACUCUUUCUCCUAGUGGUAAAAAUAUAAAUACAAUACUCUGGAUAACAUCCCGGGUGAAGUGCUCACCGAUAUCCGUGCGAUUGUGGAUCAAUUCCUUAUUGCGUUCCCAAAUAUCAACAAACAUUUCUCGCGCCGUUGCCGGGGAGAAAGACGGAUUGCUGAGAUAACCUUGAGUCUUACUACUAGCUUGUAUCUAUACUUUUUUCUUUUCUUAUCUUUUUAUAUUCUUUAUUUAUUUUCUUACCUUAUGGAAAACCAAGAUUCUAAAUCAAUCUAUCAAUUUGCAACACCUUCGGAAACUGACCUUUUACCAUGGGAGUCAUCAUAGCCUAUCCAAACAUCCCAGUAUAGGUUAAGUUCCAGGUUGAGUGCCAUGAUUCAAAACCUAUCUUUUUCAGGAAAGGAAGACGAAAACCCUUACCUUCAUAUUAGAGAUUUUGAGCAAACAUGUGAUUGUCUUUGCAUUGAAGGCAUUUUUGAUAAAACUUUACGUUGGAAGCUUUUUCCUUUUUCUUUAAGGGGAGAAGCUAGACAAUGGUAUAAUUAGAAGGUAAGUCAACAACAAGGUGAAUGGGGAGUUUUACGAGCCAACUUUUGUCUAGAUUUUUAUUCCCUCGACCGUAUCGGCGACCUUAGACUCGAAGUCCUAUCUUUUAAACAAAAAGAUAAUGAAACUUUGGGAAAAUCCUAGAAACGUUUUUCUCAUCUUUUAGAAUCUGGUCCAAACCUUAAUCUUGAAGACCCUGUUCUUUUAUUUCACUUUUUUUGAGGUCUUCAGAAAGAUCAUAAACAAAUGCUACAUACAAUGUCUAGAGGUUCUUUCUUUCGCAUCCCUACUGAUGACGCUAGAGUGAUCCUAGAUAGAAUCCUAGAAGAUGAGAUGGAUAAUACCCUCCAUGAUGAAACCCAUGAAGCCGAAGUAGACACUCUGCCAACUUCUCCAUCUACUUUAGCUAUCCCAAGUUCUGAGCCACAAAAGGAAAAAUUCCACCACCUGAUUUCAUGCUGGAUAUAGAAUCUGAUCUUUUUGCCGAUUUUGGAAAUAUUUCAAACUACCAUUCUAUAGAUAGACCCCAAAACGGCCAUUUUAGCAUUUGUUUGCCAACUGAUCAUCAAUUGAGAGAGCUUAUUGUAGUCAUGAGUCGCGAAUGGUUGGAGGAGUCAGAGCUUUCCUCUAAAGUGAUCCGUUUGGAUACACCUCCUAUAACUAUACGCUGUGCUUAUGAUUCUGAUCAAUUUGAUGCUCUCUAUAAUCCUGUUGUGGGUAUCAACAUCAUGUCUGAAUCUUUUGCACUUAAAUUAUUUAAAAAUGUGGUCUUAACCCCCACAACAAAGGUCAUAAAGGAAUCUUCGGGACAAUUAGUCCCCAGUCUUGGAAUUAUUAAUGUCCAACCCCUUAUGGUAGAAGGCUCCAUGGUUCAUUUGAACUUCUAUAUCUUUGAUAUAUGGGACUUUGACCUAUUGAUAGGACAACCUUUUAGAAGACUCCUUUAUGAAGGUCAUACUGGAAAGCUACACAUUUAUUUUGGAAAAACUUUUAAAUUUCCAAUAACGAUUUCUCACUCCUUAAAUAAUAAGGCCGAGUCAUAUCUUUUGCCUGAUCCUAUGGUGGAGGUAAAGACUGCAUCUCUAGAGCUUUUAGAAGAACCAGACUUAGAAGACGAAGCUCCUUUCUUCAUAGAAGAAGAAGCUGAACCUUCUAAACCUGAACCCUUAGACGAGUUUGCAGAAACGCCUAUGCCUCCCAUAGAGCUUAAAACUUUACCACACGGUCUUAUCUAUGCUUUCCUAAACAAUAAUCUAGAGUUUCCUGUGAUCAUUAGUGAUAAACUCACUCAGGAGCAAACUCUGCGAUUGAUGACCAUUCUUGAGAAAUGUCGCUCAAUUUCUGGCUACUCACUCCAAGAUCUUAUAGGAAUCAGUCCUAUGAUUGGCACCCAUCGUAUUCCGACAGAUCCUUCUAUUUCACCUUCUCGAGAGCCCCAACGUAGACUUAACAACACGAUGAGAGAGGAAGUUAAAAAGGAAGUUAUAAAGUUGCUGCAUGUAGGGAUUAUAUAUCAUGUGCCACACAGUGAGUGGGUGAGCCCAAUCAAAUUGUGCCUAAAAAGGGAGGCAUGACUGUUGUUACGAAUGAAAAGAACGAGCUAAUUCCGCAACACACCGUCAUAGGGUGGCGGAUGUGCAUAGACUAUAGAAAACUGAAUAAAGCCACAAGAAAGGAUCAUUUUCCUUUACCUUUCAUAGAUGAGAUGCUAGAGCGAUUAGCGAACCAUUCGUUCUUCUGUUUCUUAGAUGGAUAUUCAAGGUAUCCCCAGAUCCUGAUCCAUCCCGAUGAUCAAAGCAAAACACCUUUUACAUGCCCAUAUUUAACUUAUGCUUACUGUAGAAUGUCUUUUGGGUUAUGUAAUGCACCAGCUUCUUUUCAAAGAUGCAUGAUGUCUAUAUUUUCUGAUAUGAUUGAAGAGAUUAUGGAAGUUUUCAUGGAUGAUUUCUCUGUUUAUGGAAAAACUUUUGAUAGUUGUCUUGAAAACUUAGACAAGGUUUUGCAAAGAUGUGAAGAAAAGCACUUAGUCCUUAAUUGGGAAAAUGUCAUUUUAUGGUUAGGGAAGGAAUAGUGCUGGGUGUUGACGGUCCUUAAGUACCAAAUAUAAUCAUCAAAUAAAUAAAGAAAAGGAUCCAAAUGCAACCAACACCCAGACUUAGGGUUUUAUCUGACAGAAUUCCACAAGUUUUGGUGUUUGUCUAUUUCUGCAGGGGGUUAUCAGGAAAUAUGGAGGAAAGGCCCACACGUCGGGUUUACAUAGAGAUUUUAACGUGCCGCGCAAUUUUCUAUCAUCUAGAAGACUAAAGAAGCCACGGGAACAAAGCGGAAGCCGAGAGGGCCCAGGGACAGGGCGCCCGCCCACCUAUUUUGGCCAAUCACGUUCAACUUCGCGGAUUACGCUCCACCGACCUAAGGGAUCAAGAAUAACCGUUCAAUCAAUAUCGGUUUGAUCCGACGGCCCAGAUUCACUUGUGGGGACUAUAUAACCAGACCCCUUGGCCCCUAGAGGAGGCACCCCUUGAUCAUUAUUCAUUAUUCAUAGACAGAGCAAAAGCUAGGGUUUCGAGAUGAGAGCUCUCCUCUCUUCUCUAAACUAGAGUAGAUCUAGAUAGUACCGAGAUGGAGAGCGAAGGAGGAUUAGAGGAGAGGCUGGCCUGUCGGUUCUUCCUCCAGUUGUACUUCGCCAAGAUCAAGCUCUAAUCAAGCUUGCUCAUGGGAUGACUCUGGUAAUCUACUUCUAAGUCAUUAUGCAAUUACUAAUCAUGUAUGUUCUGGUUCACAACUCUUUUGAGUACUUUAAUCUAUAGGACGCUAUAGGUGAGAGUUGUAGUAUAGGUGUAAGCGUGGUGCUUAGACCUAGAUUACUUGUGGAUAUCCCCUGUAUAGCUGGAUCGUGUGGUAGGCCGCGUAGGUGACAGUUACGUUGGUCCCCUAUAGUCCACCUCUUGUUAGCAGGACGGGUAGGGUUUAUCGACCUAUGGAUAAGCGUCCUUUGUGGUGUAUUUUUAUCACGUGGUUCGUCCCAGACAUAGACAUACCCCUUUGAAGUAGAGAAACCAUAGUUAUCCUCUCUGUUCUCCUACCAACGCCCAUAUAUUAGAUUGCUCUACUCUCUAUUCCCAUAUUAUCACCCAUUGUUAUGUUACCUUUAGUAUUGUUCUUAUUCAAUUCUACCAUCUUUCCUAUUUACACCUAUCUAUCUAUCUAGGUUAAGUUAGAGCGUAGAUCAGUUCUCCCGUUUCCCUGUGGAUACGAUAAAACCUUUAAUCGGGUAAAAGCUACAACGGUAUCCGUGCGCUUGCGGAUUUAUCUGUGUGCGUAUAAAUACCAUAGUACACUCUAGUGCCAUGCUGGGGAUGACAACCUAGUAUUCAAGUGGUGUUAGCAAGUGUCAACAAGAAUUUUUGGCGCCGUUGCCGGGGAGACGGUUGCUGAGUUGACUACGAACUAGCUUAAUCAUUUUCUAAAUAAAUAAAUAAAUAUAUAUAUACAUACAUAUAUAAAUAUACUUUUCCUUUUAUCUUUUUCCUUAUCUCUGCUAUUCUUUCUUCUUAUCUAAUCCUUGAUUUCUGGUCUAUCGUGAAUGCAAACAUGUCUAUCUAACAGUUUCAUAGACCUACGGGCACACAUCUCGAACCACCAAAGUCUUCAAAGCCUAUCAUCGCAUCUAGUUUUGAGAUAGACACUGAAUACAUAGAAUUUGUUCAAAAACAACUUUUCUGAGGAGGUGAAGAAAACCUUACACACACCUAAGAGAGUUUUAUCGAGUCUGUGACCUCCUUCGCAUAGAAGGCAUGUCCGAUGAGACCCUUAAAUAGAAGCUCUUUCCGUUCUCUUU
rnacentral:lncRNA from 1 species